GGGUGCGUAGUUCAGUGGUAGAACGCGUUCCUGAUAAGAACGAGGCCGGAGGUUCGAUCCCUCCCGCACCCACCA
rnacentral:tRNA from 1 species